GCGCUUAAUAAACACCAACAUUAUCAUCAUCACCUCCCCCAGCGCUUCGAUCGGUGCUCGGCACCUAGAAAGCGCUUAACAAACACCCCCAUCAUCAUCAUCUCCCCUAACGUUCAGAAGCGUGCUCGGCCGCUCGCAAGCGCUGGACAAAGCGGCCCCCGUUAUCACCAUCACCUCCCCCCGCGCCUCGAAAGGGCGGGAGAAAGGGCACCGUGCCCAUGGCGACCGUUUCCACGGAAACGAGGGGCGGGGCGGGGCUCCUCCCCGGGCUGCCUCAGUUUCCCGCCGCCCGUGGGGCCCCGCGCGGGGCCGGCCCUCCCUCCCUCCCUCCCCCCCCUCCACGAAGCGCUGUGCGCCUACCGCUCGUCGUCGUCGUCGUCGUCGUCGUCGUCGUCGUCCUCCCUCCCUCCUCCCUCCGCCUCAGGCUCCCGCCCGCUCCCGGCCUGCCCCGCGCGCCCACGUGCCGCGCCCCUUCCGCCCGGCGCGCGGCGCGCGCAGCCGGCCGGGGGCCUUCCGGGUCGGGGCGGCCGCGGCGGCCGCUGGGUAACCGCCUCCUCCCCCCCCCCUCCCCGCCCGCCCCCGGGGCGCGCGCGCGCGCGCGCGCGGCCUCCCUCCCCCUCCUCCCCCGCCCCCGCGCCCCCGGCCCUCCACCAAUCAGCGGGCCGGCAGGGAGGGACAUGCGCAGUGGGCGCCUCCCCUCUCCUCCAGCCCAGCCCCCCCCCCACCUCCUCCUCCUGUCUCUCUCUCCUGUCUCUCCCUCCUGUCUCUCCUGUCUCUCCUGUCUCUCCCCCCUCCCCUCCCUUUCCCCCCCCCACCCCCCCACCCCCCCUUGCAGCAGCAGCAGCAGAGGAGGAGGAUGAGGAGGAGGAGGGGAGAGAGGCAGGCUGGGGGGGGCCUCCUUUGAUUGCUCUUUUUUUUUCCCAAGGACCAGCCCCCCCCCCCCACCCAGUUGGAGCCCCCCCCCCCCACUUCCACCUUGAAUUGGGGGGGGGGGGUGAGGGUGGGGAGGAUGCAGGGCAGGACAGGCCCACUUGCCACCCUCCACCCCUGAGCCCUGGGGGGGUGGGGGGGAGGGAAGAGAGAGAGCCAAGGAAGAAGAGGAGCAGUUCUUUUUCUUCUUCUGCCCCCCCCAUCCUCUUCCUCCUCCCUGCAGCCCCCCAGGAUUGGAAGGGGGAGCCCCAAAGCCUCCUAGCAACCCAGCCUGGGCUGCUGCUUGGUCCUGGCUGGAGACACUCACAGACUCACACACACACACACACACACACACACACACACACAUCUCUACUGGGAGACCCAGGAAAAGCCACUCCUCCCCACCCCCUUCCCUCUCCCCCCCCCUUUAUUACCCUUUGUGUCAUCCUCCACAGCUCCAGGGAUGAGGGACUCUGGAAGUGGGGAGCAGGAAAGUUUUAGAUGCUCAUCGAGACUUAUCCUUUCCUGGAUUGGUGAACUAGUUGCCGAGGAAUCCGUCGUUCCCGGGCCAGAGCUCUGAAAGUCGCUACUGAGGCAGCCCAGGUAGGUGACGAGUCCGGCCACACGGACGGAUUCGGGAAAUAACCGGGGCCCGCCGGACAUUCCCGUCGCCCGCCACGCCUGCCGUUCGUCCCCUUACCCCCGUCAACUUCCGUCAGGCACAGACUCUCUCUCCUCCACUCUGCCUUCCUUCCCCGAAACGUCACGUUCGGUCUGUUGCCGGCGAUCCUGGCUACGGCAGUCCGGACGGCGAAAAUGGAGGUAGGCCGAACGGGCGGAAAAAAACGUAUCCCGGCGAAAUGAAGGGAUUUCCGACGAUCUGGCCGCACACGACUCAGUCGUCAGUGAGAAAUCGACGAGGUGAAAAUGGUCCGCUGGGGAAAUUAAUGGAGAGAAAAUAGGCGAGUCCCCCCCCAGAAUGUAUUACCUCCGGAAUAAAUUUCUCACCCCAACGCGCGUUGCAUUUUGCAACCACCCGACCUCUCUCAACCCUUCAGCCGCCUGUCUGAUCACAGACUCCCACAGAAGAACGCACCCACUUCUCUAGGUCUCCCACAGUGAGUUUGCCUGCCGUAGCCUUAUCGAUUAAUCGGUGGUAAAUGUAUGAGCACUUAUUUCCUCCGCAAUCCGCCAUUCCAGCGGAAGGGCGAGGACCGCACCUCACUUUACCCCAGACCCCCCACGUGAAUACUAGAUUACUUGGUCGUUAC
rnacentral:lncRNA from 1 species